UACGGAGGGUGCGAGCGUUGUCCGGAAUCAUUGGGCGUAAAGGGCGCGUAGGCGGCGUGUCAAGUCAAUUGUGAAAUCUCCGGGCUUAACUCGGAACGGUCAAUUGAUACUGAUGUGCUAGAGUGCAGAAGGGGCAAUCGGAAUUCUUGGUGUAGCGGUGAAAUGCGUAGAUAUCAAGAGGAACACCUGAGGUGAAGACGGGUUGCUGGGCUGACACUGACGCUGAGGCGCGAAAGCUAGGGUAGCAAACGGG
rnacentral:rRNA from 1 species